rnacentral:snRNA from 1 species
UCUUAUCAGUUUAAUACCUGAUUAUGUCCUCAAACUGAGGACAACAUAUUAAAUAGAUAUUUGGAGCAAGGAGACGGAAUAGGAAAUUGAUCCAUCUACUCCAUUCAUUGAUCUAGUGUUGCAGUACCUUCAGGAAUAGUAC